rnacentral:rRNA from 1 species
GUAGUCCACGCCCUAAACGAUGCUCACUAGGUGUUGGGGAAGCGAUUCCUUGGUACCGUAGCUAACGCGUGAAGUGAGCCGCCUGGGGAGUACGGCCGCAAGGUUAAAACUCAAAGGAAUUGACGGGGACCCGCACAAGCGGUGGAUGAUGUGGAUUAAUUCGAUGCAACGCGAACAACCUUACCUACCCUUGACAUGUCCGGAAGGCUGCUGAAAGGCGGUUGUGCCCGAAAGGGAACCGGAACACAGGUGCUGCAUGGCUGUCGUCAGCUCGUGUCGUGAGAUGUUGGGUUAAGUCCCGCAACGAGCGCAACCCUUGUCCCUAGUUGCUACGCAAGGGCACUCUAGGGAGACUGCCGGUGACAAACCGGAGGAAGGUGGGGAUGACGUCAAGUCCUCAUGGCCCUUAUGGGUAGGGCUUCACACGUCAUACAAUGGCCGGUACAGAGGGUUGCCAAGCCGCGAGGCGGAGCCAAUCCCUACAAAGCCGGUCGUAGUCCGGAUCGCAGUCUGCAACUCGACUGCGUGAAGUCGGAAUCGCUAGUAAUCGCGGAUCAGCAUGUCGCGGUGAAUA